CCGGCAGUUGCCUCGUGAUCCG
rnacentral:miRNA from 1 species